AUCAAUAAGCGGAGGAAAAGAAACCAACAGGGAUUGCCUCAGUAACGGCGAGUGAAGCGGCAACAGCUCAAAUUUGAAAGCUGGCUCGCGCCCGCGUUGUAAUUUGCAGAGGAUGCUUCGGGCGCAGCGCUGGUCCAAGUUCUUUGGAACAGGACGUCACAGAGGGUGAGAAUCCCGUACGCGACCGGUCGCCUGCGCCUGUGUGAAGCUCCUUCGACGAGUCGAGCUGUUUGGGAAUGCAGCUCUAAUCGGGUGGUGUACUUCAUCUAAAGCUAAAUACCGGCCAAAGACCGAUAGCGCACAAGUAGAGUGAUCGAAAGAUGAAAAGCACUUUGGAAAGAGAGUUAAACAGUACGUGAAAUUGUUGAAAGGGAAGCGCUUGCAACCAGAUCUGCGCAGCGCCGCUCAGCCUGGGUUCUCCCCGGCGCACUCGGCGCUGCUCAAGCCAGCAUCGGUUUCGGCGGCUGGACAAAGGCCUGGGGAACGUGAGUUGCUUCGGCGACUGUUAUAGCCCCAGGCGCCAUGCAGCCUGUCGGGACCGAGGACCGCGCUUCGGCAAGGAUGCUGGCGUAAUGGUUGCAAGGGACCCGUCUUGAAACACGGACCAAGGAGUCUAACAUUUGUGCGAGUGCUUGGGCGUCAAACCCACGCGCGCAAUGAAAGUGAACGGAGGUGAGAACCCUGGAGGGUGCAUCACCGACCGAUCCUGAUGUCUUCGGAUGGAUUUGAGUAGGAGCACAAAUGCUGGGACCCGAAAGAUGGUGAUCUAUACCUGAAUAGGGUGAAGCCAGAGGAAACUCUGGUGGAGGCUCGCAGCGGUUCUAACGUGCAAAUUGAUCGACAAAUUUGGGUAUAGGGGCGAAAGACUAAUCGAACCAUCUAGUAGCUGGUUCACGCCGAAGUUUCCCUCAGGAUAGCAGUGUUGUCUUUCAGUUUUAUGAGGUAAAGCGAAUGAUUAGAGGCCUUGGGGUUGAAACAACCUUAACCUAUUCUCAAACUUUAAAUAUGUAAGAAGUCCUUGUUGCUCAAUUGAACGUGGACAUUCGAAUGUACCAACACUAGUGGGCCAUUUUUGGUAAGCAGAACUGGCGAUGCGGGAUGAACCGAACGUGAAGUUAAGGUGCCGGAAUGUACGCUCAUCAGACACCACAAAAGGCGUUAGUUCAUCUAGACAGCAGGACGGUGGCCAUGGAAGUCGGAAUCCGCUAAGGAAUGUGUAACAACUCACCUGCCGAAUGAACUAGCCCUGAAAAUGGAUGGCGCUCAAGCGUACUACCCAUACUUCACCGCCAGGGUAGAAACGAUGCCCUGGCGAGUAGGCGUGCGUGGAGGUCAGUGACGAAGCCUUGGGCGCGAGCCCA
rnacentral:rRNA from 1 species